GACGAACGCUGGCGGCGUGCUUAACACAUGCAAGUCGAACGGAAAGGCCCUGCUUUUGUGGGGUGCUCGAGUGGCGAACGGGUGAGUAACACGUGAGUAACCUGCCCUUGACUUUGGGAUAACUUCAGGAAACUGGGGCUAAUACCGGAUAGGAGCUCCUGCUGCAUGGUGGGGGUUGGAAAGUUUCGGCGGUUGGGGAUGGACUCGCGGCUUAUCAGCUUGUUGGUGGGGUAGUGGCUUACCAAGGCUUUGACGGGUAGCCGGCCUGAGGGGGUGACCGGCCACAUUGGGACUGAGGUACGGCCCAGACUCCUACGGGAGGCAGCAGUGGGGAAUAUUGCACAAUGGGCGGAAGCCUGAUGCAGCAACGCCGCGUGCGGGAUGACGGCCUUCGGGUUGUAAACCGCUUUCGCCUGUGACGAAGCGUGAGUGACGGUAAUGGGUAAAGAAGCACCGGCUAACUACGUG
rnacentral:rRNA from 1 species